GGAAGAUGUUAAGGGCGCGAGGCGGAUGCCUUGGCGCGGGAAGUCGACGAAGGGCGCGGCAAGCUGCGAUAAGCCCGGGGGAGGCGCAAACGGCCUUCGAUCCCGGGAUUCCCGAAUGGGGGAACCCAGCGGGGGCAAUGCCCCGCUACCGGCGCCUGAAUCAAAUAGGGCGCCAGGAGGCAACCGGGGGAACUGAAACAUCUAAGUACCCCGAGGAAGAGAAAUCAACCGAGAUCCCGGGAGUAGCGGCGAGCGAAACCGGGCCAGCCCAAACCGGCGCGCGUGUCACAGCGUGCGGGCGCUUCCGCGCCGGGGUUGCUGGGCGGGACGCGAGGGGGCCGCACCCCCCUCCCGCUGUCAUAAACCUGCCCCUCAGGGGAACGGCCUGGGAAGGCCGGCGGAACAGGGUGAGAGCCCCGUACCCGAAGAGGCGCAGGCAGCGGGUUCCCGAUUACCCAGAGUAGCGCGGGGCACGUGAAACCCCGCGCGAAGCAGGGGGGACCACCCUCCAAGGCUGAACACUCUCCCGCGACCGAUAGCGAACCAGUACCGCGAGGGAAAGGUGAAAAGCACCCCGAGAGGGGAGUGAAACAGCGCCUGAAACCUCGCGCCCACGAGCAGCCGGAGCACCCGCAGCGGUGUGACGGCGUGCCUUUUGUAGAAUGAGCCAGCGAGUCACCGCGCGCGGCGAGGUUAAGCUAUAGAAGCGAGCCGCAGCGAAAGCGAGUCUUUAAGCGGGCGACGCAGUCGCGCGCGGUGGACGCGAAGCCGGGUGAGCUACCCAUGGGCAGGCUGAAGCGGGGGUAAGACCCCGUGGAGGGCCGAACCCACUUCGGUUGAAAACGGAGGGGAUGACCCGUGGGUAGGGGUGAAAGGCCAAUCAAACCCGGAGAUAUCUCGUUCUCCCCGAAAUAGCUUUAGGGCUAGCCCCGGCCGUUUUCCCGCGGCGGUAGAGCACUGGACGGAGGAGGGGGCCUCACCGCCUACCGAUGCCGACCAAACUCCGAAUGCCGACGGGACCUGAAGGCCGGGAGUCAGAGCAUGUGGGCUAAGCUGUGUGCUCGAGAGGGAAACAGCCCAGACCGCCCGCUAAGGCCCCCAAGUCGUCGCUGAGUGGCAAAGGAUGUGCCCCUGCCCAGACAACCAGGAUGUUGGCUUAGAAGCAGCCAUGCAUUCAAAGAGUGCGUAACAGCUCACUGGUCGAGUGGGGGCGCGCCGACAAUUCACGGGGCUAAGCGACGCGCCGAAGCGGCGGAAUGUAGAUACAUUGGUAGGGGAGCUUCCCCUGGGCGGAGAAGCCGGAGGGCGACCGACGGUGGAGCGCAGGGGAGUGAGGAUGCUGGCAUGAGUAACGAGAGCGGCGCGGGAAACGCCGCCGCCGUAAGCCCAAGGUUUCCUGGGGAAGGCUAAUCCUCCCAGGGUCAGUCGGGAGCUAAGGCGAGGCCGGAAGGCGUAGCCGAUGCGCAACAGGCGGACAUUCCUGUACCGCCUCUGGACCGCUAUUCAGACCGACGGGGCGACGGAGAAGGGUACGCAGGCGGGGUUCUGGACGCCCCCGUGAAAGCGCGUAGGCCGCAGGGCAGGCAAACCCGCCCUGCACGCAAGGCCGAGACGCGAGACGAAGCCUCAUGGCGAAGCUGCGGAGCCCACGCUCCCUGGAAAAACCCCUAGGCAGGGACAGAGGCGCCCGUACCAAAACCGACACAGGUGGGCGGGUAGAGCAUACCGAGGCGAUCGGGGGAACCAUGGUCAAGGAACUCGGCAUAACCGCUCCGUAACUUCGGGAGAAGGAGCGCCGCCCGGGGUGGAGGGACACGCUCCCCGAGCCCUGGGCGGCCGCAGCGAAACGGCCCAAGCGACUGUUUACCAAAAACACAGGACUCUGCCAACCCGCGAGGGGAAGUAUAGGGUCUGACGCCUGCCCGGUGCCGGAAGGUUACGCGGAUGCGUUAGCGCAAGCGAAGCGCUGAAGCCAAGCCCCGGUAAACGGCGGCCGUAACUAUAACGGUCCUAAGGUAGCGAAAUUCCUUGUCGGGUAAGUUCCGACCUGCACGAACGGCGUAACGACUUGGGCGCUGUCUCGAC
rnacentral:rRNA from 1 species